AGCAGCCGCGGUAAUUCCAGCUCCAAUAGCGUAUAUUAAAGUUGUUGCAGUUAAAAAGCUCGUAGUUGAAUUUCGGGGUCAGUAGGUUGGUCGUGCCGCCGGUACGUACUGGUUUCACUGAUUCCUCCUUCCUGAAGAACCGUAAUGCCAUUAAUUUGGUGUUGCGGGGAGACUGGACUGUUACUUUGAAAGAAUUAGAGUGUUUAAAGCAGGCUAACGCUUGAAUACAUUAGCAUGGAAUAAUGAAAUAGGACGUUCGAUCUUAUUUUGUUGGUUUCUAAGAUUGACGUAAUGAUUAAUAGGGAUAGUUGGGGGCAUUAGUAUUCAAUUGUCAGAGGUGAAAUUCUUGGAUUUAUUGAAGACUAACUACUGCGAAAGCAUUUGCCAAGGAUGUCUUCAUUAAUCAAGAACGAAAGUUAGGGGAUCGAAGACGAUCAGAUACCGUCGUAGUCUUAACCAUAAACUAUGCCGACUAGGGAUCGGAUGAUGUUAAUUUUUAAUGACUCAUUCGGCGCCUUAC
rnacentral:rRNA from 1 species